AUCUUCCGCAAUGGGCGAAAGCCUGACGGAGCAACGCCGCGUGAGUGAUGAAGGUUUUCGGAUCGUAAAGCUCUGUUGCCAGGGAAGAACGUCUUAUAGAGUAACUGCUAUAAGAGUGACGGUAACUGAGAAGAAAGCCCCGGCUAACUACGUGCCAGCAGCCGCGGUAAUACGUAGGGGGCAAGCGUUGUCCGGAAUUAUUGGGCGUAAAGCGCGCGCAGGCGGCUCUUUAAGUCUGGUGUUUAAUCCCGAGGCUCAACUUCGGGUCGCACUGGAAACUGGGGAGCUUGAGUGCAGAAGAGGAGAGUGGAAUUCCACGUGUAGCGGUGAAAUGCGUAGAGAUGUGGAGGAACACCAGUGGCGAAGGCGACUCUCUGGGCUGUAACUGACGCUGAGGCGCGAAAGCGUGGGGAGCAAAC
rnacentral:rRNA from 1 species